rnacentral:tRNA from 1 species
GGGGAUUUAGCUCAGUGGUAGAGCGCUUGCCUAGCAAGCGUAAGGCCCUGGGUUCGGUCCCAGCUCCG